rnacentral:rRNA from 1 species
AGGCCUACGGGAGGCAGCAGUAGGGAAUCUUCGGCAAUGGGCGAAAGCCUGACCGAGCGACGCCGCGUGAAUGAAGAAGGCCUUCGGGUUGUAAAAUUCUGUUAUAAGGGAAGAAAGGUGAUAGGAGGAAAUGACUAUCAAUUGACGGUACCUUAUGAGAAAGCCACGGCUAAAUACGUGCCAGCAGCCGCGGUAAUACGUAGGUGGCAAGCGAUAUCCGGAAUUAUUGGGCGUAAAGAGCGCGCAGGGGGUUAAUUACGUCUGAUGUGAAAGCCCACGGCUUAACCGUGGAGCGUCAUUGGAAA